rnacentral:rRNA from 1 species
CCGAGUGGUGUGGAUGUUUAUUGGGCCUAAAGCAUCCGUAGCUGGCUAAGUUAGUCCCUUGUUAAAUCCACCGAAUUAAUCGUUGGAUCGCGGGGGAUACUGCUUGGCUAGGGGACGAGAGAGGCAGACGGUAUUUUCGGGGUAGGGGUGAAAUCCUAUAAUCCCGGGAAGACCACCAGUGGCGAAGGCUGUCGG